rnacentral:lncRNA from 1 species
UGGCAAGCUCGUUGGAAAGAAGCGCCGAAGCUAUUUGGAUUCGAUCAUGUCGGUGGCGGGUACCUUCCCGAAGACUGAUAGACCUUAUCCGAAUACGGUAAUCUCUUUAACUGAUGAAGAUUACCCUUCGGAAAUUAUCGAACCUCAUGAGGGAUCAUUGGUACUUACUGCACAAGUGGGUUCGAUAGAUAUGAAAAGGAUGAUGGUAGAUAACGGAUCGUCUGUAGACAUCUUGUAUGACCACGCUUAUCAAA